rnacentral:lncRNA from 15 species
AUUAAGAUAUCUUUUUACAUUAUUAUCACAAACAAAGUGACUCUUAAAUGGGGGUCUUCAGAAUUAGUGUUGAUGAUUUAAAAUGGGUAUUCAAGAGUAUCCUAUCUAAAACAUACAGCCUCGGGUCAUCCUCUACCAUUUUAAAUGUAUCAUCAGAAGUAUUUAACCGAACAUAUACUUACAUUUUCAGCAUCUCUUCUACCUAAACUGACAGUGAAUCCACCGGUGAUCAACGAGACAGACUCAGUCACAUUGAACUGUCAGACUCCACCAUCCUUUUCUGUGACUCAGUGUCAUUUCUACAUUUCAAGUGGAGGAACUGUCAGAGACUCCUCUUGUCUGCAGACACUGACAGGAACUGAACUGCUGAAGAUGUCACCUCAGAGUUCACCAGCUGAGGUUGAAGUGAUGUGUUUUUAUACUGUAAAGAUUGGAGAAAAAGAUUCUCCAUCUCCAUACAGUGGCACUUCCCGCAUUACCAUACACAGUCAAACACCACAGAUGACUCUUCAGCAUUUUCAUGGUGAAUACAUUCUCUUUACUUGCUCUCUGCCUGGAUCUGCUAAUCAUGAUACGAGAUGUAACCUGUACUUUGGAGAAGAAAGUGAUCCAGUUAAAACAACAACCAUCUGGAAGAAAAGAAGCUCAACCAAUCAGUGGUUCUGCCAGUUUAUUGUCACAAUUGAUGAUUUGCUGAGACGUCUAGGUUUAGUUAAACAGAGUGAUGCCAGCUGUGAUUACAGUUUGGGAAGUGAACCCAACUCUUUGUCUCCUCGUAGUGAUCGAUACAGCUUGACUGGUAAGUUACAGAAGACAUGAACACACAUGCCACACUGCUACAACACAUCCAUUGAAAUAGAUUUGAAUAAAUGAAUUCUGGGUAUAAAUAGACGGACGCCAUACAGUAACUUUAUACUUGUGUCUGUUUUUAAAUGAAUACUGUAUUUAGAUUCACAUAAUUCAUACUUUGCAAUCACGUGAUUACCAUGGUUACCUGGCGGGCAAGAAACAUAUAAAUUUACAUAUAUCCGUCAACUUACACCGCACAAAAAAUGAAAGCCUACAAAAGUAAGGAUAGCUAUCUUUUCUUCAAGAGUGGAUGGGUUAACAACGCUGUCGUAUGGGAGGUGAAAAACAGGAAUAUCUUCAUAAUCAAAGCAAACGUGAGUGUUACCAGUUAGCUAGCUAACGUUAACCGCUAAUGUUUGCUAAUGUUUGCAUGUUUGUAGCUAUACACAAAGUGACAUCUGUACCGUCGUGUGAUGAAGUCUUCAUCUGAAUAUGUACACCCUGCCUGCCGGCCAAUGACAGCUUGAUAAGUAACGUUAGUUUAAAAAAAACUUUAUGCCAACUAGGCUGUAUCAUAAAUGGCUAACAGGAUGUCAAACAUUGUAGCCUACCUGCUCAUCCACUCCACAUAGCAUCAGACAACAGACAAGAGCAGCUGGGGCAGCGAAAUGCCUUUAAUCCUGUUAGCAAUCUGUUAGGUUGUAACGUUAAUGUAGUAGUAAUAACUGUACGAUAGUAUGUAUGCAAAGUAACUGUAAGUAAGUAGACGCAGUACAACAGUAACGUGUGUACUGUAACAUGUAUUCUUCUUCUCAUCAUAUCAUAUCAAAUCACGUACAUAUGAUAUAUAUAUAUAUAUGUAUAUAUACUUUUGUAUAGUAAAACUGGCGACGUCCUGGCAAGAUCCUUCAUUAGUUUACUGGGUUUCGUUGCUGGAGAACGAUGUUCUUGCCCGCCAGCUAGUAGUUGUGACGUCACG